GACAAACGUACGAUGCUAUAGCAUAUCCCACAGCAUCCACGGCAUCAAUAGGAGAUGUGGAUAGUGAUUCAUAUUUAGAUCAAAUAGAGCUGAAAACAGAAUGUAAUUCCGAAGAUUUUGAUAUGCAAAAUUGUUCAACAGAAGAAACUGAUUUUCAACAGGAGUCCAUGAAAGAACCACAAGAAAAUGAACAAAAAUUAGAUAAAAAUAACAAUGAAACAGUACCUUUACCAGAUCCAGUAAUGGCUAGGAAAUAAGAAAUCAAUUCAGCUAUAAAGGAGAACCAUUUAAUGUUUUCGAUAUACUUAACAGCUGUUCAGAUGGUCAAACUGUUAUGGAAUUUUAUAAAAUUCAUAAUUUUUUAGAUAUUAAAAAUCGCAAACGUGUUGUUAAUCUUUUAAUACGUAAUGUAGUGGAGCGUAAAGUCGAAA